AAGAGGGAUCCCCGUAUCGGAGAGUGACAUUGGGAGCGCCGAACCAAUGACAGGCGGGACGGCCUCCCUUCAUAACGGAAACACGUGGUGCGUGCCAACAGGAGCUAUUCACUAAACAACGAUACUCCAAUUUAUAUGCCAGCAUUCCUCGCAUUGAAUAACAUGGCCACAUCGGAUUUCAAGGCAUCGCUCGCUAAACUGAGAAUUAUUAUGAGAUUUAUAAUUCAAGUAACAAAGUUUAGACCAACAUUGUUGACUUGAAAAAAAAAAAAAAGCAACUCUCCAACUUAGUUGUUUUAAGCUAAAAUUUGCCCUUUGAUUUUAGUUCGCUAUUAUAAUGUAUAAUAUACAGGUAUAGGCUUUGCUAGG